UACGUAGGGUGCGAGCGUUGUCCGGAAUUAUUGGGCGUAAAGAGCUCGUAGGCGGUCUGUCGCGUCGGAUGUGAAAGCCCGGGGCUUAACUCCGGGUCUGCAUUCGAUACGGGCAGGCUAGAGUUCGGUAGGGGAGAUCGGAAUUCCUGGUGUAGCGGUGAAAUGCGCAGAUAUCAGGAGGAACACCGGUGGCGAAGGCGGAUCUCUGGGCCGAUACUGACGCUGAGGAGCGAAAGCGUGGGGAGCGAACAGG
rnacentral:rRNA from 1 species